UUCCUCUUCGUCCUCCUCCUCCCGCUCGCUCCCAUAAGCAUUGCCCUCCUCGUCCGUGCGACUACGGGGAGCCCACGUCAUCUUGUUCUCCUUCUUGAGGCGCCGGCGCGCGUUGGCGAACCAGAAGGGAAAGAAAAACAAAACGCAACACCACACAACAACACCACACAAGAGCCUCUGAGAUGCUCCUUCCUUACUUACUGCAUUAACCAGCUAUCGACCUGGUUGUGUCCGAUUGCGAUGAUGGGCUGAGAGAAAGAACACCGGAAGAGCCAGGCUGUUCUCAGGAAGGACUCACGCCGGCCACGGGGCCGCCCCUGGCCCAGAGGGUGAACCUCUAGACCCAGGCACAGUGCACAAAGCGCUCGCCGCGGACGCUCUGUGGUCUGGGAUCAGGGCGCCAGGAGCAUACAGAAAAGGUGAACGCCGAGGACACGUGGCGCACGAAGCUGUGCGCGCUGGAGGACAACUACAAGGGGUGCCCUAUGUGUAGCCAGAGGCCCACCAGCUUCGGGGUCGGACACUCCGAACCACCAGCCCCCAUCUCUUCCCUCCCCUGGUCCAGCUCCCCGAUGUGCCCGUGUCCCCCAUCGUUGGGAGCUUCUGCAGCUGUGUCUCCCAGCUCGGACAGAGUUCACUCCUUUCCUCCCAAGGCUCAGAGUCCCCCAGAGGCGGUGCGGGCUGGCUAUCCUUCAGCUUCCUGCAGAGGCUGCUGCGUACGCUCCCCCCCCCCCCCCCCAGCUGGGGUUACAGCAGCCACACGGACUUGCAGAUGCAUGGCCUGGCGUAGCACCGGGAGGAAUUCACAUUUGACUGUGAAUCCGGCCUCGGAGCAUCCCAGGAGGCGCGGGCCGGGCGCCGGCACGUCUGCCGUGCAACGCUGGCUGAGCCCUGUAAGCCGUCAGGGCCCGGGAGGCUGUCCCUGGUCCAGAGGCGCUACGGGAAACUUUGAGGCAAACUUUGCAAACUUCUUUCUCGGAGUUAAGAGAGGCCGCCGGUCAGAAAGGCUGCGGCGGCAGCAGCGUGGGCCCCAGGCCGGAUUUGUACACCGCCGAACUGGCCCUGCGGCCCCAGAAGGAGCGCGAGGCUCUCCAGCGUGCCCAUCUCUGCCUGCACCUCCCGGACCAGGGCCCCUGCCACUGGCCUUCGAGUGGCCAGCUCUACGCGGCUCCCGGAAUCUCAGCAUGGAAGGAAAACCGUGGCCCUGUGCACCAGUGGUUUUAUUUCUCUUUCUCUCUGCAAAAACAUCCACUUUCCACCUGCGCUGAGCUUUUUCGCUGAUCUUUUUUUUUCUUUCUUUCUUUUCCGUCCUGUCUAUUUCUCACACUUUCUGUAUGUUUGAUUUCCGGGGAUGUAUUUUUCUCUUUCUUUGAGUCCAAGUGUGUUGUUCGAUCCUUUUAUUUUUAUUUUCCUGGACCGUUUUCUUAAAGCUCAUUCUUUUUUGCCUCUCCCUUCCGUGUCUCUGCCCCCCCCCCCUCCUCAGUUUCAUCUUCUUCCUUUUCUCCCUCCCUCUCUUACCCCAUCUGCCCUAUUUCAAUCUUGAUCUACCCCAGGCUCUCCUUUGCUGGUUUCUUCUCUUUUCCUUUCCUCUACAGUCUGUCCCCUCCCCCGCCCGUGGAUCUGCUUCUCGGGCAUCCCCUCCCUCCUCAUCCAUCUUGGGAGAUGAAUAUGUCGCCUUAUUGGAUGCGGAGGCCAAAGCAGGGCAAUGGGGCUCGGCCAACGCCGCACAUUUUCUUCAUGCAUAUUGAGAAUAUGGUAAUGAGCGCGUUUGCAUUGUUGCAUGGAAAUGAUGCGACUCCCUCUGCGGUGCGGAGUGGGCAAGGUUGGUGUGGACCCAAGAGAGCUCGGUAGUGGGGACUGGGCCUGGUGGCCAUAGUGACCCACGGGGGGACAAGGACGUGACCUCUAGGAGCGCCUGCUCUCCCUCCGCCUGCUCUGGCUUCCAGAAAGGCGUCACUACCCGGGUUAAACCUUGGAGAAGGGAAGACAGCCUCGCUUGCCCGCCCGGUUGUAGCGUCCCUGGUCCCGGCCUGAAAACCCUUCCCCGCUAUUUUAGAGUUCUGGGAAGGAGAGUCUGUUCUCUAAUGGCUACACAUUGUUUGCAACUUGAGUGAUCCUUUAGGAUGAAACAUGGCCCUACGCCAUCCGGCGGGCGGGUGGACAUCGUUUGCCCCGCCAGGUUGAACUCUGGCCAGUUGGCCCUCAGCGGGGAUAAGGUUGAACACCCCUCCCCCCAGUUAUCCAACAGAGGCAGCUCUUCCCCGAGGCCAGCCAAGUUCAGGUGAAGGGACCCAGGGCCUGCAGAAGGGUGAAAUUCUGUUGAAGCAGGUCAGGCUCUGCCUGGGACUGGGAAGGAAGCCAUGUUACACUUGCUGGGAGCUCAGAGCCCCGGAACCCCUAUUUAGCAGAAACCUCACCACAGCUCACCUCAGGACAUUUUCCUGCCUCCUUCUCCCCAAUUUCCUAUUCGGGAAGUCCCUAGCAGGGGCUCCAGGGCCGAAAUGCAUUGUGGAAAGGCAGCUCUGAAUAGGGUCAGGUUUCCCAACCUUCCAGCAUUCUGCCCGUGGCUAAGGACUGAAGAGUUUCGCUUCAACCGAGUGCUUUUCAAAACUCAAGUGUCUCUUUCUGGGAAAGCGUUUGAUCCGUCCCCUACUUCGGCAAACUGGAAAGUAGCGGUUAGCAGAAAGGAAACCUAGCUAGGAGCAAACCAUGCUCCUAAGCCUUGCACCUUCCCACUUGGGGUUCAAGUGCUUCCUGUGUUAUUAACAAGGCAGCUUUGGGUGUGUGAGUAGUGACUCUUGGAAGACAAGAGCAUAAAAACGAAUGUUUCUUCCUUGGUCCUCUUAUGUCUUAUGUCUUAAAAUGAUGUCAGGUCUCAAGGGCUGUCCUGGUUUGCGGCUUGGUGGUGGUGUUUUCUGCUAAAACCAGUGUGAAAAUGUGAAGGCAAAACCAACGUGCUGAAUUAUUACUGCAAAUAAGCUCAUUUAAACGUUUUUCAGG
ensembl:lincRNA Irx3os iroquois homeobox 3, opposite strand